AUUGAACGCUGGCGGCAGGCCUAACACAUGCAAGUCGAACGAGUGGCGGACGGGUGAGUAAUGUCUGGGAAACUGCCUGAUGGAGGGGGAUAACUACUGGAAACGGUAGCUAAUACCGCAUACCAUCGGAUGUGCCCAGAUGGGAUUAGCUAGUAGGUGGGGUAAAGCCUCACCUAGGCGACGCUCCCUAGCUGGUCUGAGAGGAUGACCGGCAAAACUGGAACUGAGAAAGGGUCCAGACUCCUACGGGAGGCAGCAGUGGGGAAUAUUGGACAAUGGGCGCAAGCCUGAUGCAGCCAUGCCGCGUGUAUGAAGAAGUCCUUCGGGUUGUAAAGUACUUUCAGCGGGGAGGCGUUACCCGCAGAAGAAGCACCGGCUAACUCCGUGCCAGCAGCCGCGGUAAUUC
rnacentral:rRNA from 1 species